CCUACGGGAUGCACCAGUGGGGAAUAUUGCACAAUGGGCGCAAGCCUGAUGCAGCCAUGCCGCGUGUAUGAAGAAGGCCUUCGGGUUGUAAAGUACUUUCAGCGGGGAGGAGGGUGUUGUGGUUAAUAACCACAGCAAUUGACGUUACCCGCAGAAGAAGCACCGGCUAACUCCGUGCCAGCAGCCGCGGUAAUACGGAGGGUGCAAGCGUUAAUCGGAAUUACUGGGCGUAAAGCGCACGCAGGCGGUCUGUCAAGUCGGAUGUGAAAUCCCCGGGCUCAACCUGGGAACUGCAUUCGAAACUGGCAAGCUAGAGUCUUGUAGAGGGGGGUAGAAUUCCAUGUGUAGCGGUGAAAUGCGUAGAGAUGUGGAGGAAUACCGGUGGCGAAGGCGGCCCCCUGGACAAAGACUGACGCUCAGGUGCGAAAGCGUGGGGAGCAAACAGGAUUAGAUACCCCAGUAGUC
rnacentral:rRNA from 1 species